CGGGUGAGUAACGCGUGAGAAUCUGCCUUCAGGUCGGGGACAACCACUGGAAACGGUGGCUAAUACCGGAUAUACCUAACAGUGAAAGAUUAAUUGCCUGAAGAGGAGCUCGCGUCUGAUUAGCUAGUUGGUGGGGUAAAAGCCUACCAAGGCGACGAUCAGUAGCUGGUCUGAGAGGACGAUCAGCCACACUGGAACUGAGAAACGGUCCAGACUCCUACGGGAGGCAGCAGUGGGGAAUUUUCCGCAAUGGGCGAAAGCCUGACGGAGCAAUACCGCGUGAGGGAGGAAGGCUCUUGGGUUGUAAACCUCUUUUCUCAGGGAAGAAGACCUGACGGUACCUGAGGAAUCAGCAUCGGCUAACUCCGUGCCAGCAGCCGCGGUAAUACGGAGGAUGCAAGCGUUAUCCGGAAUGAUUGGGCGUAAAGCGUCCGCAGGUGGCCUUGUUAGCCUGCUGUCAAAGAGUCUGGCUCAACCAGAUAAAGGCAGUGGAAACUACACAGCUAGAGUACGUUCGGGGCAGAGGGAAUUCCUGGUGUAGCGGUGAAAUGCGUAGAGAUCAGGAAGAACACCGGUGGCGAAAGCGCUCUGCUAGGCCGUAACUGACACUGAGGGACGAAAGCUAGGGGAGCGAAUGGGAUUAGAUACCCCAGUAGUCCUAGCCGUAAACGAUGGAUACUAGGUGUUGCUUGUAUCGACCCGAGCAGUACCGUAGCUAACGCGUUAAGUAUCCCGCCUGGGGAGUACGCAGGCAACUGUGAAACUCAAAGGAAUUGACGGGGGCCCGCACAAGCGGUGGAGUAUGUGGUUUAAUUCGAUGCAACGCGAAGAACCUUACCAGGGCUUGACAUGUCGCGAAUCACAGGGAAACUUGUGAGUGCCUUCGGGAGCGCGAACACAGGUGGUGCAUGGCUGUCGUCAGCUCGUGUCGAGAGAUGUUGGGUUAAGUCCCGCAACGAGCGCAACCCUCGUUUUUAGUUGCCAUCACUAAGUUGGGCACUCUAGAGAGACUGCCGGUGACAAACCGGAGGAAGGUGGGGAUGACGUCAAGUCAGCAUGCCCCUUACGUCCUGGGCUACACACGUACUACAAUGCGCCGAACAGAGGGCAGCUAACCAGCGAUGGCAAGCUAAUCCCGGAAAUCGGCGCUCAGUUCAGAUCGCAGGCUGCAACUCGCCUGCGUGAAGUUGGAAUCGCUAGUAAUUGCAGGUCAGCAUACUGCAGUGAAUUCGUUCCCGGGCCUUGUACACACCGCCCGUCACACCAUGGAAGCUGGUAGUGCCCGAAGUCAUUACCCCAACCUUUCGGGGAGGGGGAUGCCUAAGGCAGGACUGGUGACUGGGGUGAAGUCGUAACAAGGUAG
rnacentral:rRNA from 1 species